rnacentral:rRNA from 1 species
GGAGCUUGCUCCUUGAUUCAGCGGCGGACGGGUGAGUAAUGCCUAGGAAUCUGCCUGGUAGUGGGGGACAACGUUUCGAAAGGAGCGCUAAUACCGCAUACGUCCUACGGGAGAAAGCAGGGGACCUUCGGGCCUUGCGCUAUCAGAUGAGCCUAGGUCGGAUUAGCUAGUUGGUGGGGUAAUGGCUCACCAAGGCGACGAUCCGUAACUGGUCUGAGAGGAUGAUCAGUCACACUGGAACUGAGACACGGUCCAGACUCCUACGGGAGGCAGCAGUGGGGAAUAUUGGACAAUGGGCGAAAGCCUGAUCCAGCCAUGCCGCGUGUGUGAAGAAGGUCUUCGGAUUGUAAAGCACUUUAAGUUGGGAGGAAGGGCAGUAAGUUAAUACCUUGCUGUUUUGACGUUACCGACAGAAUAAGCACCGGCUAACUCUGUGCCAGCAGCCGCGGUAAUACAGAGGGUGCAAGCGUUAAUCGGAAUUACUGGGCGUAAAGCGCGCGUAGAUGGUUUGUUAAGUUGGAUGUGAAAGCCCCGGGCUCAACCUGGGAACUGCAUCCAAAACUGGCAAGCUAGAGUACGGUAGAGGGUGGUGGAAUUUCCUGUGUAGCGGUGAAAUGCGUAGAUAUAGGAAGGAACACCAGUGGCGAAGGCGACCACCUGGACU